AGCGAACGCUGGCGGCAGGCCUAACACAUGCAAGUCGAACGAACUCUUCGGAGUUAGUGGCGGACGGGUGAGUAACACGUGGGAACGUGCCUUUAGGUUCGGAAUAACUCAGGGAAACUUGUGCUAAUACCGAAUGUGCCCUUCGGGGGAAAGAUUUAUCGCUUUUAGAGCGGCCCGCGUCUGAUUAGCUAGUUGGUGAGGUAAAGGCUCACCAAGGCGACGAUCAGUAGCUGGUCUGAGAGGAUGAUCAGCCACAUUGGGACUGAGACACGGCCCAAACUCCUACGGGAGGCAGCAGUGGGGAAUCUUGCGCAAUGGGCGAAAGCCUGACGCAGCCAUGCCGCGUGAAUGAUGAAGGUCUUAGGAUUGUAAAAUUCUUUCACCGGGGACGAUAAUGACGGUACCCGGAGAAGAAGCCCCGGCUAACUUCGUG
rnacentral:rRNA from 1 species